GGAGGAAAGCAGGGGAUCGUAAGACCUUGCGCUUUUGGAGUGGCCGAUGCCUGAUUAGCUAGUUGGUGGGGUAAGAGCCUACCAAGGCGACGAUCAGUAGUUGGUCUGAGAGGACGACCAGCCACACUGGGACUGAGACACGGCCCAGACUCCUACGGGAGGCAGCAGUGGGGAAUUUUGGACAAUGGGCGAAAGCCUGAUCCAGCAAUGCCGCGUGAGUGAAGAAGGCCUUCGGGUUGUAAAGCUCUUUCAGUCGAGAAGAAAAGGUUGCGACUAAUAAUCGCAACUUAUGACGGUAUCGACAGAAGAAGCACCGGCUAACUACGUGCCAGCAGCCGCGGUAAUACGUAGGGUGCGAGCGUUAAUCGGAAUUACUGGGCGUAAAGGGUGCGCAGGCGGCUCUGUAAGUCAGAUGUGAAAUCCCCGGGCUUAACCUGGGAAUUGCGUUUGAAACUACAAAGCUAGA
rnacentral:rRNA from 1 species